rnacentral:lncRNA from 1 species
CAAUUAAAAAAAUGAAAUCUUACAAGAUUGUAGUUGCUUGAAAGAUUUGAAAAAUGUCACUGAGAAAUUAUCUCAGUGCAAGUUCAAGCAUCAAGUUUAACUUAAAUGACAGAAAUUAGGUUUAAAUUCACCACACUUUUUAGCACCAAUCAAAUUUCCACGUAGAUUAUUAAUUAAAAAACAUUAAAUUAAAUAAAAAAUAGCUACAAAAAAUAAAAAAUUUAAUUUUAACGACGCUAACGCUUCCACGUAAACCCUAAACCCUAAAUCUUAAAUUCAAAACCCCAUACCCUAGAUUCUAAACCCAAAUCCAAACCCCUAAACCCAAACCCUAUACCCUAUACCCUAAACCCUAAUCAUAGACCCUAAACCCAAAUUAUAUACCAUAAACCCAAAAACUAGACUAUAAACCUAAACUCUAUACCCUAAACUCAAGUCCUAGACCCUAAAUCCAAACCGUAAACCUUAAACCCAAAUUAUAUACCCUAAACCCAAAACUUUAACCAUAAGUCCAAACGGUAAAUCUUAAACCCAAACCGUAAAUCCUAAACCCAAACCCAAAACCUAUACCCUAAAUCCAAAUCCUAGACCUAAAACCCAAA